rnacentral:misc_RNA from 1 species
UGAUACACCAUGUAACUGGUUUGGUGUUUCAUGUGACAAAUUUACUCGCUCUGUUACUUCAUUGGACCUUUCUAAUGCGAAUGUUGCUGGUCCUUUUCCCACUCUGCUUUGUCGGUUGAAGAAGCUGCGUUACAUUUCCUUGUAUAACAACUCGCUUAACAGUACUCUUCUUGAAGAUUUUUCUGGGUGUGAAGCAGUAGAGCAUCUUGAUUUGGCGCAGAAUUUCUUGGUGGGUACACUUCCGGCGAGUUUAUCUGAGCUCCCAAACUUGAAAUAUCUUGACUUGUCGGGUAAUAACUUCACCGGAGAUAUUCCGGUGAGUUUUGGUUCUUUUCAGCAGCUUGAAGUUCUUGGGUUAGUUGGGAACUUGCUUGACGGGAGUAUACCGGCGUUUCUCGGGAACGUUACGACGUUGAAGCAGCUGAAUCUGUCGUACAACCCGUUUACUACUGGUCGGAUCCCGCCGGAGCUGGGAAAUCUGACGAAUCUUGAGGUUUUGUGGCUUUCUGACUGUAAUUUGAUUGGGGAAGUUCCUGACACAUUGGGGAGGUUGAAGAAGAUUGUGGAUUUGGACCUUGCUGUUAACUACUUGGAUGGGCCGAUUCCGAGUUGGCUCACUGAGCUGACUAGUGCUGAACAAAUUGAGCUGUAUAACAACUCGUUCACCGGCGAGUUUCCGGUGAAUGGGUGGUCGAAAAUGACGGCGUUGAGGCGAAUCGACGUUUCGAUGAACCGGUUAACUGGUACGAUUCCGAGGGAGUUGUGUGAGCUGCCACUUGAGUCACUCAAUCUUUAUGAAAACCAGAUGUUUGGUGAAUUGCCACAAGACAUUGCAAAUUCACCAAACUUGUAUGAGUUGCGCCUUUUUCACAACCGUUUUAAUGGGAGUUUACCUCAACAUCUUGGAAAAAAUUCACCUUUGUUGUGGAUUGAUGUGUCGGAAAACAAUUUUUCUGGUGAAAUUCCGGAAAAUUUAUGUGGUAAAGGGUUGUUG